rnacentral:rRNA from 1 species
AUUGAACGCUGGCGGCAUGCCUUACACAUGCAAGUCGAACGGUAACAGGUCUUCGGAUGCUGACGAGUGGCGAACGGGUGAGUAAUACAUCGGAACGUGCCUAGUAGUGGGGGAUAACUACUCGAAAGAGUGGCUAAUACCGCAUGAGAUCUACGGAUGAAAGCAGGGGAUCGCAAGACCUUGUGCUACUAGAGCGGCCGAUGGCAGAUUAGGUAGUUGGUGGGAUAAAAGCUUACCAAGCCGACGAUCUGUAGCUGGUCUGAGAGGACGAUCAGGCAAAAUGGGACUGAGACACGGCCCAGACUCCUACGGGAGGCAGCAGUGGGGAAUUUUGGACAAUGGGCGCAAGCCUGAUCCAGCAAUGCCGCGUGCAGGAUGAAGGCCUUCGGGUUGUAAACUGCUUUUGUACGGAACGAAAAGCCCUGGGUUAAUACCCUGGGGUCAUGACGGUACCGUAAGAAUAAGCACCGGCUAACUACGUGCCAGCAGCCGCCGUAACAC